AAAGAGACGUUUUUUUUUCUCCACACAACAAUUCUUGCUGGCACCAUCGUUCCCAUUGUUAUCACAAAAUCACAACAGAUUCAUUUCUGCUUUUCCCAUUUUACCCUCUCCGCAAAAUCCGCUUCUGCUGCUAUGUCAUGUGGCGGUGCUGCUAACGCUCUCUCUCUUACGUGCACACGCAUAGAUAUAUAGAUAUACAUAUAGAUACAUAGAUCUCUGUGAAAGUACAAAACCUCUUUUUUCUUCCUUCAAUAGUUCCGUGCCAUGGCGGGAUUUGGUGGCGGCCAUUGCUUCCCGUAUCCUCUCAACGCUGUCAUUCCCGUGCUUGCUUUCGUUCAUGUGAUUCUUGCUUUCAUUGCCACUCUUCAGUUGUUGAGGAUUCACUUGAGAAGUUCAGAGCAUGGUUGGACUCGGCAAAAAGUGUUUCAUCUAUUGAUUGGCUCUUCUAACUCGGGUUACUUCAUUUAUUUGGCAUUGAUACUUCUUGCUUCUUGCAAGGGAUGGACAUAUUGGUCACACUCUUUUGGUUUCAUUUUUAUGGCACUCCCCAAAGUACUUUUUUUUGCAGCAUUUCUUCUUCUUUUAUCCUUCUGGGUUGACCUAUGCCAUCAGCCAAACGAUGACGAUGACUAUGAAGGAAGUUUUUCUGAGGAACCUUUGCUGGGAAAGUCUCCGUAUGAAGCAAAUUUAACAAACAGGGAUAGACAUAGAAAGUGUUUUCCUAUUCGUUUUUCUCGUCUCGGACACCGUCAAAAGAUUGUGAUUUUGGUUAUGUUGCUAGUUCUCAUCACCAUAAUGGCAUUUGCUGUAAUAAUCUGGAUCGGGCUAGGAAAGAAUCCCAUUGACUCUGAAGUGGCAGCUCGGGUAUACCUGGAUGUGUCUGCUAUUGGAAUGCUUCUCUUAGGAGCAGCGCUGGCAUGUUAUGGAAUCCUAUUAUGCUUGAAGAUGAGAAAAGUGAGAGCUGAAAAACCUUCAUCUGAAAUGGGGAAGGUUGCAGGUUUAACUAUGGUCUCUGUACUAUGCUUCACAUCAAGUUCCUGUGUAGAACUUUUUACGGACAUUCCUAUGAUGUUUCACUGGCAUCAGCAGCGCAUGGAUGAUGUUUAUUCACCCCUUCUGCUGAUUUUGUAUUUUUUUGUGGGUUCAUCAAUACCUUCAGCAGUGGUGAUGUGGGUAAUGAGAGAAUUACCACCUGCAGAAGAUACUGGAUCACUAGAAGAAUCAAGUAUAAUAGCUUUUGUUGCUAAUAGCUCAGUUGAUGUUCAUCAUCCUCAGAGCUGGACUACUGCAACAAGCACGCAGAAUCAGUAGAAAAAUAAUUUUUUACAUGGAUUGCUCUUGACGGUUGAGGCUUUAAGAUUCAAAUUCAUCAUUGUUUCUGACAAGUGUCAUCACAUAAGUCACAAGACAUCAAGAGCUAGUCCAAUAUGAGUUGACUUUUGCAUGUAUAUCUUCUAGUUCUGCCGGAUUUUGGGCACAGCUAAUUGGAGUUUGUUGGCAAUACUUUUAACCGUAAAGCGACGAUAAAAGAGAAAAAAAAGAAAAAAUGAUGACGGUGGAUGCAAGCACUUUCCAAUCCCAAUGUUCUUGCGUUUUAAAUCUAACUGUAUAUAGCUGCGAUUUGAUAUAUGAAAAUUUGUUUAGAGCUAUACAAGUUUUGGGAAGCAGUUGUGGUUUGGAAUCAAAAACACUUGCUUGAUGUGAAUAUAAAUGUUGACCAGCGAGCAUGUUCUUCCAACCUGCUUGCGAACUGAAUUAAUAUCUCAGAGGAUGUUGUUUCAAGUUUCUA